UACGUAGGGUGCGAGCGUUUGUCCGGAAUUAUUGGGCGUAAAGAGCUCGUAGGCGGCCUGUUGCGUCCGCUGUGAAAGCCCGGGGCUUAACCCCGGGUCGGCAGUGGAUACGGGCAGGCUAGAGGUAGGUAGGGAGAAGUGGAAUUCCGGUGUAGCGGUGAAAUGCGCAGAUAUCGGGAGGAACACCGGUGGCGAAGGCGGCCUGCUGGGCAGUAGCUGACACUGAGGCGCGACAGCGUGGGGGAGCAAACAGGG
rnacentral:rRNA from 1 species